rnacentral:rRNA from 1 species
GACGAACGCUGGCGGCGUGCUUAACACAUGCAAGUCGAACGGAAAGGCCCUGCUUUUGUGGGGUGCUCGAGUGGCGAACGGGUGAGUAACACGUGAGUAACCUGCCCUUGACUUUGGGAUAACUUCACGAAACUGGGGCUAAUACCGGAUAGGAUCUCCUGCUUCAUGGUGGUGGUUGGAAAGUUUCGGCGGUUGGGGAUGGACUCGCGGCUUAUCAGCUGGUUGGUGGGGUAGUGGCUUACCAAGGCUUUGACGGGUAGCCGGCCUGAGAGGGUGACCGGCCACAUUGGGACUGAGAUACGGCCCAGACUCCUACGGGAGGGAGCAGUGGGGAAUAUUGCACAAUGGGCGGAAGCCUGAUGCAGCAACGCCGCGUGCGGGAUGACGGCCUUCGGGUUGUAAACCGCUUUCGCCUGUGACGAAGCGUGAGUGACGGUAAUGGGUAAAGAAGCACCGGCUAACUACGUG